rfam:Haloplasma contractile SSD-17B Contig27, whole genome shotgun sequence.
UCUGGUGGCAAUAGCAAGGAGGAAACACCUGUUCCCAUACCGAACACAGUAGUUAAGCUCCUUAGCGCCGAUGGUAGUCCGAAAGGGCGAGAGUAGGUCGCUGCCAGGC